GAUGAACGCUGGCGGCGUGCCUAAUACAUGCAAGUCGAGCGAACAGACGAGGAGCUUGCUCCUCUGACGUUAGCGGCGGACGGGUGAGUAACACGUGGAUAACCUACCUCUAAGACUGGGAUAACUUCGGGAAACCGGAGCUAAUACCGGAUAAUAUAUUGAACCGCAUGGUUCAAUAGUGAAAGACGGUUUUGCUGUCACUAAUAGAUGGAUCCGCGCCGCAUUAGCUAGUUGGUAAGGUAACGGCUUACCAAGGCAACGAUGCGUAGCCGACCUGAGAGGGUGAUCGGCCACACUGGAACUGAGACACGGUCCAGACUCCUACGGGAGGCAGCAGUGGGGAAUCUUCGACAAUGGGCGAAAGCCUGACGGAGCAACGCCGCGUGAGUGAUGAAGGUCUUCGGAUCGUAAAACUCUGUUAUUAGGGAAGAACAAAUGUGUAAGUAACUAUGCACGUCUUGACGGUACCUAAUCAGAAAGCAACGGCUAACUACGUG
rnacentral:rRNA from 1 species